ensembl:lncRNA
AUGCGGCCCCGGCUCCGCCUCCCCCGCUCCGCCGGCGCUGGGAGCUCCCUUCGCCUGUUUGCCCUUAUUUAAUUUCGAGUGUGAUUUUGCUAUUUUUAGCAGCUGGAUCCCCUCCAAUCCGCAGUCGCCGCGGGCGGGGGGUCCCUUCGCUCCGCAACACAGACCCGCCGGGAAAAACAAAAAACCAUCCAAAACCGGCCCCAAAAGCCACGGCGAACGGCCGGCUCCGGGAUCAAGCUGCCUACGAUGAGUGAAUCCAGCGCCAAAUCCAGCCAGCCCCUGGCCUCCAAAGGGGACAAAGACGUCUCGGAGAAGAGGGGCCGAGGGCGGCCUAGGAAGAAGCCGCAGCAGGAGCCCAGCGAGGCCCCGACCCCCAAGAGACCCCGUGGACGGCCGAAGGGCAGUAAAAACAAGGCCACCACAAAGGGCAGGAAAGCUGCAGUCACGCCAGGGAGGAAACCUCGAGGGCGACCCAAAAAAUCGCAGCAGGACGAGGAGGAGGUGAACAUUUCCCAGGAGUCAUCCGAGGAGGAGCAGUGACACCUCCCGAACCGGCGCUACCUCAUCGCCCGACCGGCCGGGGGAGAGGGGUGGGGAGAGACCCACUGUGCCGCCCUGGCUUCCUCCUCCUCCUCCUCCCUCCUCCGCUCCCUCCUCACCCUCAGACAACGGCAGCACUGGAAAAUGGCCCAACCCGGGCGGCCCCCGCAGCCCCCGCCCGGGGGGGCACUGCCCCAGCUCCCCCUCCCCAGCCCUGGCCUUUGGGGCACCCCUCUGUUAGGGGGGAUCACGGCAGAGAGCCGGGCUGGCACCCCCCGUGUGGGCAUCUCACCCCGCCAAAGUGGGGCUGCUGCCCCCCCAGCACUGGGCUCUGCAGGGAAGAGAUGGGGGGGCAGUGAAGGUGAGACCCCCCCCAAAAUGAGUUCGACCUUUGCUCUGGCCUGCUGCUACCCUGGGCAGCCCCAUGUCCCCCCAGCCCUGGGUGACUGCACUGUGUGUGGGAGCAGCUCGGGGCCGGUGCCCACGCCCAGGGGUGCCCACACCCAGGGGUGCCCGAGCACAGCUGGCUCCGGGCAGCCCUCUCCUCAUAGGUUCUGGUAUAUAUAUUUUUUUUUUUUGUUUAGUACAUUUUUUUUUUUCCUUUCAUUCACAACUACCUCUGGAUAUUUAAGUUCCACUCUCUGGACUCACAGACGUGCUGCUGCGCUGCCAGGGCACCGUGGGCUCCGUGGUUCCUCUUUUCGGAGUGUUGCUGGGGGCUGUGGGGUAUUUUUUUUUUUUCCCCUCCUUUUUUUUGGGCUUCAUUUUUCUUUUUUUUUUUUAAUUGUUAUUUUGAGGUCUAGUUUGCUCUGCUGCUUCAAGGGAUCGAGGCUGGCAGGGCAGAGGUGUGGAGGGACCAUGGGAUGCUCCCCCUUCCCCUCUGCCCCGGCACGACGGCUGCAGCGGGACCGGAGGUCGGUGCCGGGCGGCCCCGGCGGGAGAGAAUCGGGGUUUGGUUUGGGUUUUUUUUUGGUUCACUGUUAACGACCUUUUGGGUUCCUAUUUGCAGUUACUUGAAUAAAACAUUUUAUG